GAUGAACGCUAGCUACAGGCUUAACACAUGCAAGUCGAGGGGAAACGAUAGAGAAAGCUUGCUUUUUCUAGGCGUCGACCGGCGCACGGGUGAGUAACGCGUAUCCAACCUGCCCACCACUUGGGGAUAACCUUGCGAAAGUAAGACUAAUACCCAAUGACGUCUCUAGAAGACAUCUGAAAGAGAUUAAAGAUUUAUCGGUGAUGGAUGGGGAUGCGUCUGAUUAGCUUGUUGGCGGGGUAACGGCCCACCAAGGCGACGAUCAGUAGGGGUUCUGAGAGGAAGGUCCCCCACAUUGGAGCUGAGACACGGUCCAAACUCCUACGGGAGGCAGCAGUGAGGAAUAUUGGUCAAUGGACGAGAGUCUGAACCAGCCAAGUAGCGUGAAGGAUGAAGGUUCUAUGGAUUGUAAACUUCUUUAUAAAGGAAUAAAGUCGGUAUGUAUACCGUUUGCAUGUACUUUAUGAAUAAGGAUCGGCUAACUCCGUG
rnacentral:rRNA from 1 species